GCAGGGUGUUGUAGGUGAUCCUGGAGAGUCAGGAGUUGCUGGGGAAAAGGGAAAACCUGGAACCCAAGGAUCAAAAGGAAGAUAUGGCACCAUUGGACAAAAGGGCAUUAUAGGAGAUCCUGGUUUGCCCGGGAGAGAUGGGGACAUGGGAAUAGA